GCCUCGGUGGCUUAGGGGCUAUAGCGUUUGCUUCGUAAGCAAAAUGUCGCGAGUUCAAGCGAGUCGGGAUUA
rnacentral:tRNA from 1 species